rnacentral:rRNA from 1 species
AUUGAACGCUGGCGGCAGGCCUAACACAUGCAAGUCGAACGAGUGGCGGACGGGUGAGUAACGUCUGGGAAACUGCCUGAUGGAGGGGGAUAAAUACUGGAAACGGUAGCUAACACCGCACACUCUCAGAUGUGCCCAGAUGGGAUUAGCUUGUUGGUGGGGUAACGGCACAUCAAGGCGAAGCCCCCUAGCUGGUCUGAGAGGAUGACCAGCCACACUGGAACUGAGACACGGUCCAGACUCCGACGGUAGGCAGCAGUGGGGAAUAUUGCACAAUGGGCGCAAGCCUGAUGCAGCCAUGCCGCGUGUAUGAAGAAGGCCUUCGGGUUGUAAAGUACUUUCAGCGGGGAGGCGUUACCCGCAGAAGAAGCACCGGCUAACUCCGUGCCAGCCGCCGCGGUAAUUC